ensembl:miRNA mdo-mir-12301 mdo-mir-12301
UUACAGAUUGGGAAACUGAGGUGUGGUAAAUCUGUUUACCUCGGUCUCCAUAAUCUGUAAAGG